rnacentral:rRNA from 1 species
UACGUAGGAGGCAAGCGUUGUCCGGAUUUACUGGGCGUAAAGCGCGCGCAGGCGGCAGUGCAAGUAAGGUGUGAAAUCUCCCUGCUCAACGGGGAGGGUGCAUUUUAGACUGCACAGCUAGAGGUCGGUAGAGGGGGGUGGAAUUGCUGGUGUAGCGGUGAAAUGCGUAGAGAUGUGGAGGAACACCGAUGGCGAAGGCAGCCUCCUGGGCCAACACUGACGCUCAUGCACGAAAGCGUGGGGAGCAAACAGG